rnacentral:rRNA from 1 species
CCUACGGGAGGCAGCAGUGGGGAAUAUUGCUCAAUGGGCGAAAGCCUGACGCAGCGACGUCGCGUGAGGGAUGAAGGUCCUCGGAGUGUUAACCUCUUUCUGUAGGGAAGUACGGUCACUGUGCUAAUCAGCUUUGAAUUUACGGUACCUGUAAAGGAAGCACCGGCGAACUCCGUGCCAGCAGCCGCGGUAAUACGGAGGGUGCGUGCGUUAAUGGGAAUUACUGGGCGUAAAGCGCGCGUAGGCGGUAUGUCAAGUCAAGGGUGAAAUCCCCGGGCUCAACGUGGGAACUGCCUCUGGAACUGGCAAGCUGGAGUGUGUGGAAGGAUAGUGGAAUUCCAGGUGUAGGAGUGAAAUCCGUAGAUAUCUGGAGGAACAUCGGUGGCGAAGGCGACUAUCUGGCACAUAACUGACGCUGAGGAGCGAAAGCGUGGGUAGCAAACAGGAUUAGAUACCCUGGUAGUC